UACGGAAGGGGCAAGCGUUGUUCGGAAUCAUUGGGCGUAAAGGGCGCGUAGGUGGUUCUGUAUGUCUACCGUGAAAGCGUACGGCUCAACUGUAUUUUGUCGGUUGGAAACUGCAGGACUUGAGGCUGGGAGGGGCUGGUGGAAUUCCUGGUGUAGCGGUGAAAUGCGCAGAUAUCAGGAAGAACACCUAUGGCGAAGGCAGCUCUCUGGGACGGUACUGACGCUGAGACG
rnacentral:rRNA from 1 species